UACGGGGGGGGCAAGCGUUGUUCGGAAUUACUGGGCGUAAAGGGCUCGUAGGCGGCCAACUAAGUCAGACGUGAAAUCCCUCGGCUUAACCGGGGAACUGCAUCUGAUACUGGAUGGCUUGAGAUUGGGAGAGGGAUGCGGAAUUCCAGGUGUAGCGGUGAAAUGCGUAGAUAUCUGGAGGAACACCGGUGGCGAAGGCGGCAUCCUGGACCAACACUGACGCUGAGGAGCGAAAGCCAAGGGAGCAAACGGG
rnacentral:rRNA from 1 species